GGAGAGAUGGCAGAGUGGUCGAAUGCACUGGUCUUGAAAACCAGCGUACCGCAAGGUACCGGGGGUUCGAAUCCCUCUCUCUCCGCCA
rnacentral:tRNA from 1 species